GAUGAACGCUGGCGUCGUGCUUACCACAUGCAAGUCGAACGAGUGGCGUAUGGGCGAGUAACACGUGGGAACCUGCCCUUCACAGGGGGAUAACUACUGGAACCGGUGGCUACUACCGCAUACCAUCGGUUUACUCCAUAUGGGAUUAGCUAGUAGGGGGGGUAAAGGCUCACCUAGGCGACGAUCUCUAGCUGGGCUGAGAGGAUGAUCAGCCACACUGGGACUGAGAAACGGCCCAGACUCCUACGGGAGGCAGCAGUGGGGAAUAUUGCACAAUGGGCGAAAGCCUGAUCCAGCCAUGCCGCGUGUGUGAAGAAGGUCUUCGGAUUGUAAAGUACUUUCAGUCGGGAGGCGUUACCGACAGAAGAAGCACCGGCUAACUCCGUGCCAGCCGCCGCGGUAAUAC
rnacentral:rRNA from 1 species